GCCCUCUUCACGACUGUCUUGGUGUGUUUGGACCAUUCUAGUUUGUUGUAGAUUGGACACCAAGGAACUUGAAGCUCUCAGCCUGCUCCACUACAGCCCCCGUCGAUGAGAAUGGGGGCGUGCUCGGUCCUCCUUUUCCUGUAGUCCACAAUCAUCUCCUUCGUCUUGGAUACGUUGAGGGAUAGGUUGUUAUUCUGGCACCACCCGGCAAGGUCUCUGACCUCCUCCCUAUAGGCUGUCUCGUCGUUGUCGGUGAUCAGGUUUACCACUGCUGUGUCGUCUGCAAACUUAAUGAUGGUGCUGGAGUCGUGCCUGGCCAUGCAGUCGUGGGUGAACAGGGAGUACAGGAGGGGACUGAGCACGCACCCCUGUGGAGCUCCAGUGCUGAGGAUCACAAGAGUUGGUUCAGGACUCCAAGGUUGGCAGACACAUGGUGGUCUGUGGUGUCUGGUCCCAUGUCAGCUUCUUGGCACAGAUAGAGUAUCUUCUCUUCCAGAAUGCUACGAUUUGAUAACCAUGAGUCAAGAUCUACAAGACGUGUGAGAGAAACUGGCGGCCAUAAGAGAGGUCUGGGUGAAGUGGGUGGAGCAUCUGCCAUAUCUCUACAACCCUGGGCCUGAAGUAACAGUGGAUGAGGCCAUACCUCUACAACCCUGGGCCUGAAGUAACAGUGGAUGAGGCCAUACCUCUACAACCCUGGGCCUGAAGUAACAGUGGAUGAGGCCAUACCUCUACAACCCUGGGCCUGAAGUAACAGUGGAUGAGGCCAUACCUCUACAACCCUGGGCCUGAAGUAACAGUAGAUGAGCAACUGGUUCCAUUCAGAGGAACAUUUUUAUUUUCACAUCUGUAAUGUCACUGUCUUUUCCGGCAGUAUGUGCCCAGCAAGCCAGAAAAGUAUGGCAUCAAGGUAUGGGUGGCCUGUGACUCACAAUCCAGCUACGCUUCGAAGAUGCAAGUCUACACAGGGAAGCCGACCAGUGGAGACCCGGAGAAGAACCAGGGGAUGCGGGUUGUGCUUGAUGUGACAGAUGGACUGAGGGGGCACAAUGUCACGUGUGACAAUUUCUUCACCUCUUAUGAACUCAGUCAGCAGCUCCUGAAGAGGAAGAUCACCAUGGUUGGUACAGUUAGAAAGAACAAGCCUGAGCUCCCCCCUGCACUCCUCGCAACAAGGGGGAGAGAGGUACACUGUACAAAAUGGCUGAGAUGAGUGAUCGUGAGGACAGGAAGCCAGCCAUCAUCCUGGACUACAACCACAGCAAAGGAGACGUGGCAACCUGAACAAGGUGAUUGGAACUUACAGCUGCAGGAGGAUGACUGUCCACUGGCCUCUGGUCAUCUUCCAUAACAUCAUUGAUGUGUCCUCAUACAAUGCCUUUGUGAUGGAACAAGAUCAACCCUACCUGGAUGCCUGAUAAGCAGAACAAGAGGAGGGUGUUCCUGGAGCAGUUGGGAAAGGCACUUGUAACCCCACACAUUCAAAGAAGGGAGCAUCUCCCCCUGCACAGCAGCCUUUGCAGCGCUUGUGAAAGCUGUUCAGGUGGCUGAAUCUUGUCCUGAUCCACCUGAGGCUGCAGUUGGGGCAGGCAAGAGGAGGAGAUUCCAAUUCUGCCCCCCAAAGAAGGACUGUAAAACAAAUACCAUGUGCUGCACAUGUGAGAAAAACAUCUGCAAAGUCCAUGCACACACACUUGCAUACUGUCCUACAUGUGCUAUUAGAGUUGAUUGAUUUAUGUUCUUCACAUUUUUGUUUGUAUUGCUGUUAUUUAUACACCUUGUGGGUGGGGGCAGUGGUUCAUAAAAUGGGAGAAGACUAUAAUGUACAGUAUAUAAGAAUAUAUCACUAUGUUGCCAAAAAAGUUCAAGACAGUUAUUGUUUCCCUGAAAUAAUAUGCAUUCAAAACUACUUUCUGCACAUUUCUGCUACUUUCUUAGACUAUACAAGUGCUAUCUCUUACUAAAAAAAAUUAUGUUUAUACCUAUG
rnacentral:lncRNA from 1 species